AUCGUAUAAAUCUUUCGCCUUUUACUAAAGAUUUCCGUGGAGAGAAGCAAGUCUGAGUUUUGUAUCAAUUUUUUGAGGCCUUGUGUUUACAAGGCUAAUAACUGCAUGUUUGAAAAAAAGAUCUGCAAUAGUUUCUUUGUUUUGCGACUCUGGAGACUUACGGUACCUUGUGCCUUCCACAACAAACUCCCGCUGUCAAGUCAACCCCUACAGCCAGGACUGUGAAGGCUGCUCCGGCCACACGGUCUUACUAUGCAAGCAGCACUUCCGGGAGGCAAAGAGCAGCCUUGGGAGAGGAGGACACUGUUGUGCAAGACAGACAUUUCAGGUCUUCUCAUACGCUGCUGGAGGGAGGGUCUUUGAAGAUGUGGUUAGUUGAGACGAAGCCAAACUCGAUGGAGAUGGGCUCUAAUCCUAUACGACUGGUGUCCUUAGAAGGAGAAGAAAUUUGGACACAGGCAGAGAGACAGAGGGAGGAGAGUGACGGCCGUGUGACAGACGCCAAGGGGCCUUGGAGGGCCGGCCACCCACCAGGAGCCGAGGGAGAGGCGGGGAACCGAAUCCCCCCAUCCAGAGGAAGCUCCUGCCCAGCCUUGAUUCCAGCUGUCUAGACUUCAGGACUGUGAGACCGUAAAUUACUGUUGUUUGAGCCAACUAGUCUGUGGGGGAAGGAAAUCCAUUAUUUUACAAGGGGAAAAGAAGCUUGGGUCUCCAUCCUGGCCUUGCCACUUCCUACCUGCAUUUAUAUACCAGGAACCAGUUUUGUUAUCACUCAGACCUUUUCUGUCACCCGGGAAAUGGGGGGUUACGAUGGUGCCCGUCCCCUGGGGCUGUUGAGGACUGACUGAGAGGACCCCCGAGAAGCCCAGAGCUGCAGAAUGUGGGUUCCCUGUCCCUUCAGCCAGCGAGGAAGCGUAGAGAACUCCCCUGUCCAUGGUGGAGGCAUUGGCAGAAGUCCCUCUGAGGCUUCCCGCUGGGGCUUCCUGUGAUAUUAAGUCUCAUUUCGGGGGAGAUGCUGAUUUGGGGUUCUGCUCCCCCUUUGCUCCCCUCCACCAUCCUCAACCUGUUUCCCAGCCAGCUCCAGGAUAGAUGCACCCAGCCUGAUUUUCCAGCCGCAGUAAGCAGCCUGGAAACAUGGCUUUUUACAUCUCCUUUGUUGGUUUCCAGCAAAUUAAAAUUUAUCUCUCAGGGAGGAAACGAGGGGUCAGGUUUUUUCUUUUUUCGUCUUCUUAAUGGGCCCUGAUGAAGGAAAUGAAUGCAGGGAAGGGAUCGAAAUACGAUCCACCUCUCACCAGCACAGAAGGGGGUUGGGGGGAGGCUCCCUGCACCCUCAAAGGGGGCAGCUGGGCAUGGUAUGUUUUAUUAUAUAAUUAACCUUGACCCUUCUGGGUUCAAAGAGAGAGGUUAGUUGGAAAUAAAUCAAGAGUCUGGUCUGGUCACUUCAAAGGCCUCAGAACCCGCUGGAAAAUUCCAUGUUGGUUCAGUGUGUAAAUUGGAA